GCCACAUGAUGAGAGAGAUGAG
rnacentral:miRNA from 1 species